rnacentral:rRNA from 1 species
UACGUAGGGGGCAAGCGUUGUCCGGAAUCAUUGGGCGUAAAGCGCGUGUAGGCGGCCCGAUUAGUCCGCUGUGAAAGUCCAGGGCUCAACCCUGGGAUGCCGGUGGAUACUGUCGGGCUCGAGUCCGGAAGAGGCGAGUGGAAUUCCUGGUGUAGCGGUGAAAUGCGCAGAUAUCAGGAGGAACACCAAUGGCGAAGGCGGCUCGCUGGGCCGGUCCUGACACUGAGACGCGAAGGCGUGGGGAGCGAACGGG